AGUGAGGUGAUAAGUGCGAAGCAAAGAUACAUUUGCUCCGCAGAAGUGGCCACAGUGCAGAUGUUGCAGGUUAUUUCCGUGAAGUUUCAUCAUGAUGCUGGGACACUGAAAUCUGAAUUGUUCAUGCUGUUGAUUUCAAACCGUUAUUUGGCUAUCCUUGGAUCCUCAAACAGCCCAGUAAGAGCUUGUGCCUCCGUCCUAAAGACUUUAAGGCUUCCAGCUGUCAUUACUUUCUCUAAAACCAAGCAAUGGACUAUUGCGAGCCAAGCCAGCCCUAACCAGUAUUUUUGGACAGUGGAAGCUCUGAGUGGCCAUCAAACGAGGGUAAACCUUUCCAAAAACACAGAGGAUAUUCUUAUUGUGUAUUGAAUCCUAAAUCUAUUGUUUGAUCUAAUUAUUCUGCCUCUAGAGCCCUUUUAUCCAGGCAUUGCUGAUGAAACCGAAGCUCAAGAGGAGGCAGAGUGUGUUUGGUUGUUUGAGACAUGCUAGGACAUCCAUAGCACAGAAAGAGUUAGAAAGAGAGAGAUAAAGAGCAAGAGACAGAAAGAGAGUGAACUGAGUGAUUCAGUCACGUACAGCCCAGGCAUUAUCUAGCCAACAAUAAAAGAUUACAUCAUAUCAGCUGGCAUAAUUUCUUCAAGGUCUUUUAUUGAUUCUUUGAAUGGUGAGUGCAGCUGUUGAAAGUGUACAAAAUAAAGUCAUUGUAUUUACGGGAUCACAUCAGGAUUUUAUAGGCACACAGAAAUGAUUUGACGAUUCAGCUUUCAUUCAUUGGGUGAUCACAACUUUCAUGUGGCUUUGUAACAGGUACACAACAUUCCAGUUAUGUUUAAUUCCUCUGUGCAUGCAAGAUAAGCCAGCACUCCUAAACUGAGAACAAAAAUUUGACAAACUAGUGAGAAAUUACAUGACAGUUUAUUGAACUCUCAUCUGUUGCUGUUACAAAUUCGAAGUAAAGCAAGUAUUUACAUUUUUUAACUAUCUGUAAAAAUAAAUAUUGCCUUUGUCCCAAAUGGCACCCAUUUAGCUAUAUUUUGGCAGCAUAAUGACAAAUAUUGGGUAGUAGUCUGCUGUAAAGUCAAGUGUAAAAUCAACGGUGCAGUGGCGCAAAGAGGGCGCUGUUGAGCAUUCAGUUUAUAUAGUAAAGUGGCAAAAUUCGCAGAAUUUCGUUGAAAUUAAGCAGCCAAAAAAAUCGCUUUCAAACCAAGCAGCAAAAGAAACAAUUGUACACAUUUACAUGACUAAUUUGAAGCCUCAUGGGAAACUCCUGAUUUUGCAGAUUCCUACAGAAAUUACAGGAAGCAAUGGUGACCAUGCCUUAAUUGUGUUGUGGCAAGUCCAGAGGUCCACAUGAAUACCAUGAAAAUAAAAUUUAGCACAUCUCUGCAUGCAUAUUUUUUAAGGAAAAUUUGAAUAUGGAAUUAAGUAAAAUCCAGUUAACUAAGUGAAGUUAAAUUAGCAAAUUAAAUAAGUAAAUUGACCAUGUCCAGUUAGAGAUUGAUGAGUCAUUUCUACUUAAUUAUUUAAAUUUUACCUUUCAAAAAUGAAGUACUUUCACUUGGCCACAGUUUGUAAACUUUACUCAAACAACAUACUGUAUCACUGAAAAAAAAAAAUGCCAUUAAAGCAUCUGGUUCACCUACAAACAUGUACAUAAGAAAGAAGACAGCUCUUUAUUCUAUUUAAGGUAAUAUGUUGACUCAAUAUAGAGGAGACCUCAAUACUUGGCACAUAAUACACAUGAACUCUAGAUGUAACCUAACAACAAAAGCAACCAUAAAGCAAUGUAAAAAACAUCUCGAAAACAGGUGUAUUAUUUACACCACAAAAUUAUUUUUUAUCAGUGUAGUUUGGGAUGGACCAUAGCUAUUGCCCUUAAAACUUAUCAGCAUGUUUGUGUUUGUUCCCACUGUAAAGGUGCAGUCUUAUUACUGAAAUUUUGUGGGCAAAAAGUGUCUACUGUCUGUUGUGAAUAGUAUAGCAAUAGUAUAGCAGCCAUCAAACAAUAUGGCAAAUUUGUAAGAAUGUUAUGAAAUGUAAAUGGAAAUUGUAGCAAUGGUAAAUGUGACUGGCACUUAAAGGGUUAAAUAUGGCUAUUUUACUUACAAAAACGCAUCAUUUCACCAUAGGAGGACUUUUUUUUUUUAUCCCCCGGAGCCAUGGGAGACACUUUUUUUUUAUAGAUGGGUGAUUUUUAUUUCACUUCUUUUGGACUGAAGCACUGCUACACCUGCUGAGUGCCAUGAAACAGCUUGAGAGAUCAAAGACUCCGACUGGAUUCGUCUGAAAGAAGAAAGUCAUAAUCAGACUCGAGGGUGAGUGAUUUAUGGUCUAAUUUUCAUUUUUGGAUGUGGUAAAGUGCAUCAUUUCUGCUCCACUUGCUGCAUCAAAAAGAACUGCAAUUACUUUAAGUGGCACUAGUGAUAAAAAAGUUUAAAAUGAACUGUUGUUAACUGAAAUUGCGUUGUGUAACAGGUUAAGCCCAUCAAAGUCAUUGACGAGUAAGAACAAGGUGGGUGGAGCUACUGAGGAGUUUAUUCGGGGGAGAUACAUUCGGGGGUUUCUGGGUGACUUAGGACAAGGGGUCUCACACUGUGGACUGCACAAAUCAAGGAUGGAUAAAGAACACAGAGGGGGACGCUGCCCUGGUGGGACAGGAAGUAGAGACGCAGAGGGGAGCAACUUCACCUGCUGAUCACCUUCAGUCUGACCGGUGGGACUGGCCUCUGAUUGGACGUGUCUGAUAGCCCAUCCA